CUAGCCUUUCCCUAUCCCUACCUUUCUUCUCUCCUUGUCUUCGUUAAUUCUCUUCCUAAGCUCUUGUCCUAAAAUUAGACUUAUCUUUACUAUUUUUGAACUUAUCCUAAUAAGAGAAGAAAGAGACUAAUUAAAUAAUAGGGAGAAGAUGUUAGAAAGAAAGAAGGAAUUAAAAAUCUGAAUGAAUCAAAUCCCCCCAACACACCCCCUUUAAAUACUUAGCGAUAGGUUGCUUUCGGGAAUG
rnacentral:lncRNA from 1 species